AGCACGAGGCUAGUGCCACAGAAAACGAACCGCAAGUUUUAUCUUGUAAGGGUGCAAUGGUGUGGUAAGAGCACACCAGUUUAUUUGUAAGAAUAAAGCUUGGUAUACCCUAACACAGAGCAAACAAAAUUAAGCGAUUUUUCUGGUCGCUUAAUUCUUGGUGCUAGAAUAGUAUUGUAAAAUAUUAUCAAGAUGAAUGGUCAUCGUAAAAAACUCAGAUUUUUUAUUACAAAACCCGGCUUAUUUUCUUC
rnacentral:RNase_P_RNA from 14 species